rnacentral:rRNA from 1 species
GAUGAACGCUAGCGGCAGGCCUAACACAUGCAAGUCGAGGGGUAGAGGUUGCUUGCAACCUUGAGACCGGCGCACGGGUGCGUAACGCGUAUGCAAUCUGCCUUGUACGGAGGGAUAGCCCAGAGAAAUUCGGAUUAAUACCUCAUAGUAUCUUUUCCCGGCAUCGGGAGAUUAUUAAAGCUCCAACGGUACAAGAUGAGCAUGCGUCCCAUUAGCUAGUUGGUAUGGUAACGGCAUACCAAGGCAAUGAUGGGUAGGGGUCCUGAGAGGGAGAACCCCCACACUGGAACUGAGACACGGACAAAACCCCUACGGGAGGAAGCAGUGAGGAAUAUUGGUAAAUGGGCGCAAGCCUGAACCAGCCAUGCCGCGUGCAGGAUGAAGCAUCUAUGGUGUGUAAACUGCUUUUAUACGGGAAGAAACACCGGUUCGUGAACCGGCUUGACGGUACCGUAAGAAUAAGGAUCGGCUAACUCCGUGCCAGCAGCCGCCGUAA